rnacentral:rRNA from 1 species
GACGAACGCUGGCGGCGUGCUUAACACAUGCAAGUCGAACGAUGAAGCCGGAGCUUGCUCUGGUGAAUUAGUGGCGAACGGGUGAGUAACACGUGAGUAACCUGCCCUUGACUCUGGGAUAAUUGCGGGAGACUGUAGCUAAUACCGGAUACGACCCUCGGAGGCAUCUCCUGGGGGUGGAAAGAAUUUCGGUCAAGGAUGGACUCGCGGCCUAUCAGCUAGUUGGUGAGGUAAAGGCUCACCAAGGCGACGACGGGUAGCCGGCCUGCGAGGGUGACCGGCCACACUGGGACUGAGACACGGCCCAGACUCCUACGGGAGGCAGCAGUGGGGAAUAUUGCACAAUGGGCGCAAGCCUGAUGCAGCAACGCCGUGUGAGGGAUGACGGCCUUCGGGUUGUAAACCUCUUUUAGCAGGGAAGAAGCGAAAGUGACGGUACCUGCAGAAAAAGCACCGGCUAACUACGUGCCAGCCGCCGCAGUAA